rnacentral:rRNA from 1 species
UACAGAGGUCCCAAGCGUUGUUCGGAUUCAUUGGGCGUAAAGGGUGCGUAGGCGGCGCGGUAAGUCGGGUGUGAAAUCUCGGGGCUUAACUCCGAAACUGCAUUCGAUACUGCCGUGCUUGAGGACUGGAGAGGAGACUGGAAUUUUACGGUGUAGCGGUGAAAAUGCGUAGAUAUCGUAAGGAAGACCAGUGGCGAAAGGCGGGUCUC